AUGGAGAUAAAAAUAAAAUUAAAAAGACAUUUUUUUUUCUUCUUCUUCUCCAAAUUUCCGUAGCUCUCUUUCUCUCAUUUGUUCUCUCACCAAAAACCUCCAUUAAAGCAUGAAAUCAAGCUCUUAAACCCCUAAAUUACCCAUAAAUUCCCCAAAUUUCUUUGAUUAAAGCUUGUUAUCUUCACUUGAGAAGAAGAUUGUGGAAGGAAAGAAAGGAAGAAAAAGGAAGAAAUUGAAGAAGUAAAGAUCAAACAAAGUUGAAAAGAAUACCGGGAAAGAACCCGAGACAUCGAUUCAAGGCCUAGAGGCGACUCGCACAAGUCAUAGUACUCAGCGAUGGCUGUUUAUUGCUAUCGCAGAUAGAGAGACUAGUAGAGCAGCGGAGUGAGCUGCUGAGGAUUUCAGAGCUACUUCUGGACCUUUUGUCGGGUAUAAUUUUAUACUCUGAUUGUACAUAUUUAUUUUGAUGUAAUUAACUGUAUAUACAUUUGUAAAUUGGUCAUGAGCAGUUGUACAGAUUUUGUAAUAAUAUUAUUUUGGGUUUUCUGAUGUAAAUUUAGACUAAUAAAUGUAAAUAAACUUUUCUUCAAUGAAAUGCAAAUGAGA